rnacentral:rRNA from 1 species
CACGUAGGGUGCGAGCGUUGUCCGGAAUUACUGGGCGUAAAGGGCUCGUAGGCGGCCAACUAAGUCAGACGUGAAAUCCCUCGGCUUAACCGGGGAACUGCAUCUGAUACUGGAUGGCUUGAGUUCGGGAGAGGGAUGCGGAAUUCCAGGUGUAGCGGUGAAAUGCGUAGAUAUCUGGAGGAACACCGGUGGCGAAGGCGGCAUCCUGGACCGGUAUUGACGCUGAGGAGCGAAAGCCAGGGGAGCAAACGGG